UACAGAGGGUGCGAGCGUUGUUCGGAAUACUGGGCGUAAGGCGCGUGUAGGCGGCCAUCUAAGUCGGGCGUGAAAUCCCACGGCUCAACCGUGGAAGUGCACUCGAAACUGGAUGGCUAGAGUCCUGGAGAGGAAGGUGGAAUGCUUGGUGUAGAGGUGAAAUUCGUAGAUAUCAAGCGGAACACCGGUGGCGAAGGCGGCCUUCUGGACAGUGACGUGACGCUGAGACGCGAAAGCGUGGGGAGCAAACAGG
rnacentral:rRNA from 1 species